GUGACAUUUAGUUGCAGUUGCUGUUGUUGUUUUUUUAAUACAUAUAAAUUAAAAAAUCCGUUAUGGAUAGGAUCAAUGCCUCAUCACAUCUAGCAAUCAUUUCCAACUCAACGCACAAUCAAACAACUGAGCUGCUUACUUAGUCACAAUCAGCGAACGAGAUUCAAUACUCGUUUAGUUGUGAUGAGGUGUGAUGAGAAUUUAUAAUAAUGCUACACAAAAGCAAGGCAGCAAUAAGUAAUGAGAAGAAGGGACUGCAAGAAAAAAUAAAAUAAAAUAAAAUAAAAAUGCCCAGAAGUGGUCAUAUUAAAGUAAAAGUGGCGGUUGUAAUUGGAUAUCAUAAACCCAAGGGCUGGCUGGUCAGAUCAGUUGUAAUGAGAACUAUCAAACACAUUCCACAAAGGGACACUGUGCGCGGUGAUUUCAUCCACGGAGAAGGCCGGAAACAUUGGCGCAGUGAAGGACCUUUUUAUCGCGCUGUUGGAUA